AUGCACUACUACUUGCUUCUCUUGGGGUCCUCGGAGAACCUAUUCCGGGUGCUCAACCGCGCCGGCUUCUUCAGAUGCAGCCUAGAGCGUGUGUUCAAGCCCAAUGUCGCCUUCCUGCACGAGUGCGGGCUAGCUGCCUGCGAUAUUGCCAAGCUGUGCAUGGCUGUGCCGAGGAUGUUCACCAGUAACCCGGAUCGCGUUCGGGCGAUGGUGGCAUGCGCCGAAGGUAUAGGCAUACCUCGGGACUCUGGGAUGUUCAGGUAUGCUCUGCAGGCUGUCGCGUGCAUCAGCGAAGAGACGAUUGCAGCCAAAGUGGAUUACUUAAAGACAACGUUCAAGUGGUCGGAUGCUGAGGUGGUCAUUGCUGUUUCUAAGGCUCCAGGGGUGCUGAGGAGGUCUAAGGACUUUCUACGGAGCUGGUCAGAGUUCCUCAUCUCCGAGGUGGGGUUGGAACCGGGGUACAUUGCUCAUCGCCCGGCAAUGCUCAAUUAUAGCCUGGAUGGUCGGCUAAGGCCCCGGUACUACGUUCUGAAGUUUCUCAAAGAAAACAGAUUGCUACAUCGCGAUCGGGACUACUAUUCUGCAGUCGCGGUGACUCAGAAGGUAUUCGUGGAGAAGUUCAUAUGCCCACACAAGGAAGCUGCGCCGCACCUUGCUGAAGACUAUGCAGCAGCUUGCAAAGGGGAACAUGUUCCAUUUUCAUUUCAUCGUCUUUUUGUUCAAUUAAAAUGCACUUUCUCCGUGCAGCCCUCUAGUCUAUCUUUCCAUGAAAGAAGAAUGCUUGGUCCCUGGUUGUAUUUCGAUGUGGUCGAGGAUGGGUUACUAGACCAGCAAGAAAAGAAUGGGGAGGUGCCCUCCGUUUGCUGGCCAGAUCAGGAACGAAAGUGCUUUAUCUUGGUAAAGAUGAAAUUAAAACCCUUGCUAAUUGGAUGGUGGGGAUUCUAUCUCCUUGCUUGUACCAGAGAAACUUUCAGGGUUACGGGAAGGAGGCGGGCAUGUAAGAGGGCUGGGUGGAGAGUAGGAACACAUGAUGGAGGGUUGAGAUCUGGCUGCGGUGAGUUGAGGAGCUGGACCAAUGCACGGCAGGCAGCGGCUACACUUCUAAAACUUCUUACGGCAACAGCUCCUCAUGUUUACAUGUUCCUGAAGCGUUCUCGUGUUAUUGUUUCAUCUGAAAAGUAA
rnacentral:rRNA from 1 species